GAGAGAGAGAAGAAAAAACAAAAACUGCUAAUAUUUGUUGCUUUGGUUAAACUCCAAGGCUCACUCG
rnacentral:tRNA from 1 species